GAUGAACCCGCUUCGGUGGGGGAUUAGUGGCGAACGGGUGAGUAACACGUGGGCAAUCUGCCCUGCACUCUGGGACAAGCCCUGGAAACGGGGUCUAAUACCGGAUACGACCACUGAGGGCAUCCUUGGUGGUGGAAAGCUCCGGCGGUGCAGGAUGAGCCCGCGGCCUAUCAGCUUGUUGGUGGGGUGAUGGCCUACCAAGGCGACGACGGGUAGCCGGCCUGAGAGGGCGACCGGCCACACUGGGACUGAGACACGGCCCAGACUCCUACGGGAGGCAGCAGUGGGGAAUAUUGCACAAUGGGCGAAAGCCUGAUGCAGCGACGCCGCGUGAGGGAUGACGGCCUUCGGGUUGUAAACCUCUUUCAGCAGGGAAGAAGCGAAAGUGACGGUACCUGCAGAAGAAGCGCCGGCUAACUACGUGCCAGCAGCCGCGGUAAUACGUAGGGCGCAAGCGUUGUCCGGAAUUAUUGGGCGUAAAGAGCUCGUAGGCGGCUUGUCGCGUCGGUUGUGAAAGCCCGGGGCUUAACCCCGGGUCUGCAGUCGAUACGGGCAGGCUAGAGUUCGGUAGGGGAGAUCGGAAUUCCUGGUGUAGCGGUGAAAUGCGCAGAUAUCAGGAGGAACACCGGUGGCGAAGGCGGAUCUCUGGGCCGAUACUGACGCUGAGGAGC
rnacentral:rRNA from 1 species